rnacentral:rRNA from 1 species
UACGAAGGGGGCUAGCGUUGUUCGGAAUUACUGGGCGUAAAGCGCACGUAGGCGGACUAUUAAGUCAGGGGUGAAAUCCCGGGGCUCAACCCCGGAACUGCCUUUGAUACUGGUAGUCUCGAGUCCGGAAGAGGUGAGUGGAAUUCCGAGUGUAGAGGUGAAAUUCGUAGAUAUCGGGAGGAACACCGGUGGCGAAGGCGGCGACCUGGGUAGAUACUGACGCUGAGGUGCGAAAGCGUGGGGAGCAAACAGG